UUGUGUAAAGUGUGUUAUCUUGGACGAACUGCGCGCGUGUGUAAGUUUUUCAGGUGGCAAGGUCACGUGGAAGAGAAUAGAGAUGAAUAAGGAAAUGCAAAAUCACGCUGCUCCAUGAUGUGGUCUCAUCACUUGUAAGUUGUUUGCGUUUGGUAUAAGCAUUUAAAUCACAUUGAAUCACGUUGAAACUGGUGAUGAAAGAUAUUAAUGUAAAUUGUGUUAAGUCACAUGGGAUACGUAGCUCUAUCGCCGCCACUGCGCGUUCUUGGAACGAGCGCGACGGUGACGUUGCGGUGUGCGGCCCCUCGGACGAGAAGACUGGGCUUACGUUGGAUGCAAGUUAUUGUCGUCGGGCAAGGUUUUAAAAAGUGAUGUUAUAGCCACUGGACAUUGAAGCGAUUGAAGACCAGAAAGCCUUAGUGCGACCGGCUUGAUUCAGGUGGCUUAUAUGUAUACCAUUGGGAGAGUUAAAGAAGUUUAGUCCUCUAAAAGAAGUCCUCCGGAAAGUUUACUGCAACAAAGAUUACUCCCGAGAGCGACACUCGUUAAGGAUGCGAGUAUUUGAAGUUCCGCUUUCAAGCAUUGGACGGCCUGCAAAUUACCAUUGGAGCCAAACUGUAUGCAUUUUCUAGAUGAUCUUAAAUACGGAGCGGUAUUCUAAAGAUGUAGUUGUGCAGUGUGUAGUUCGUAGAUUACGAAACAACGGAGCGAGAAUACAGUUGGCGUUCCGUUUU